rnacentral:rRNA from 1 species
GACGAACGCUGGCGGCGUGCCUAAUACAUGCAAGUUGAGCGCUGAAGGUUGGUACUUGUACCGACUGGAUGAGCAGCGAACGGGUGAGUAACGCGUGGGGAAUCUGCCUUUGAGCGGGGGACAACAUUUGGAAACGAAUGCUAAUACCGCAUAAAAACUUUAAACACAAGUUUUAAGUUUGAAAGAUGCAAUUGCAUCACUCAAAGAUGAUCCCGCGUUGUAUUAGCUAGUUGGUGAGAGAAAGGCUCACCAAGGCGAUGAUACAUAGCCGACCUGAGAGGGUGAUCGGCCACAUUGGGCCUGAGACAAGGCCCAAACUCCUACGGGAGGCAGCAGUAGGGAAUCUUCGACAAUGGACGAAAGUCUGACCGAGCAACGCCGCGUGAGUGAAGAAGGUUUUCGGAUCGUAAAACUCUGUUGGUAGAGAAGAACGUUGGUGAGAGUGGAGAGCUCAUCAAGUGACGGUAACUACCCAGAAAGGGACGGCUAACUACGUGCCAGCAGCCGCGGUAA